GCGAGGGUGCCGGAGUGGCCUAACGGGGCGGUCUGCAAAACCGUUUUUCGAGGGUUCAAGUCCCUCCCCUCGCU
rnacentral:tRNA from 1 species